rnacentral:rRNA from 1 species
GACGAACGCUGGCGGCGUGCCUAACACAUGCAAGUCGAACGGAGCACUCCGGUCCUUAGUGGCGAACGGGGUAGUAACGCGUGAGAAACCUGCCGUUCAGUGGGGGACAACAGUUGGAAACGACGGGUAAUACCGCAUAUUGUCGUGUGUGGGCAUCCUCGAAUGACCACAGGGUUGUUGCUGAAAGAUGGUCUCGCGUCUGAGUCGCGAGAUGGCGGGGUAACGGCACACCAUGGCGACGAUAAGUAGACGGUCUGAGAGGAUGAAGGGCCACAUUGGGACUGAGAUACGGCCCAGACUCCUACGGGAGGCAGCAGUGGGGAAUAUUGGGCAAUGGGGGAAACCCUGACACAGCAACGCCGCGUGAAGGAAGAAGGCCUUCGGGUUGUAAACUUCUUUUACCAGGGACGAACACAAUGACGGUACCUGGAGAAAAAGCAACGGCUAACUACGUGCCAGCAGCCGCGGUAAUAC